rnacentral:rRNA from 1 species
GACGAACGCUGGCGGCGUGCUUAACACAUGCAAGUCGAACGGAAAGGCCCUGCUUUUGUGGGGUGCUCGAGUGGCGAACGGGUGAGUAACACGUGAGUAACCUGCCCUUGACUUUGGGAUAACUUCAGGAAACUGGGGCUAAUACCGGAUAGGAGCUCCUGCUGCAUGGUGGGGGUUGGAAAGUUUCGGCGGCUGGGGAUGGACUCGCGGCUUAUCAGCUUGUUGGUGGGGUAGUGGCUUACCAAGGCUUUGACGGGUAGCCGGCCUGAGAGGGUGACCGGCCACAUUGGGACUGAGAUACGGCCCAGACUCCUACGGGAGGCAGCAGUGGGGAAUAUUGCACAAUGGGCGGAAGCCUGAUGCAGCAACGCCGCGUGCGGGAUGACGGCCUUCGGGUUGUAAACCGCUUCCGCCUGUGACGAAGCGUGAGUGACGGUAAUGGGUAAAGAAGCACCGGCUAACUACGUGCCAGCAGCCGCGGUGAUACGUAGGGUGCGAGCGUUGUCCGGAUUUAUUGGGCGUAAAGGGCUCGUAGGUGGUUGAUCGCGUCGGAAGUGUAAUCUUGGGGCUUAACCCUGAGCGUGCUUUCGAUACGGGUUGACUUGAGGAAGGUAGGGGAGAAUGGAAUUCCCGGUGGAGCGGUGGAAUGCGCAGAUAUCAGGAGGAACACCAGUGGCGAAGGCGGUUCUCUGGGCCUUUCCUGACGCUGAGGAGCGAAAGCGUGGGGAGCGAACAGGCUUAGAUACCCUGGUAGUCCACGCUGUAAACGGUGGGUACUAGGUGUGGGGUCCAUUCCACGGGUUCCGUGCCGUAGCUAACGCUUUAAGUACCCCGCCUGGGGAGUACGGCCGCAAGGCUAAAACUCAAAGGAAUUGACGGGGCCCCGCACAAGCGGCGGAGCAUGCGGAUUAAUUCGAUGCAACGCGUAGAACCUUACCUGGGUUUGACAUGGAUCGGGAGUGCUCAGAGAUGGGUGUGCCUCUUUUGGGGUCGGUUCACAGGUGGUGCAUGGCUGUCGUCAGCUCGUGUCGUGAGAUGUUGGGUUAAGUCCCGCAACGAGCGCAACCCUUGUUCACUGUUGCCAGCACGUUAUGGUGGGGACUCAGUGGAGACCGCCGGGGUCAACUCGGAGGAAGGUGGGGAUGACGUCAAGUCAUCAUGCCCCUUAUGUCCAGGGCUUCACGCAUGCUACAAUGGCUGGUACAGAGAGUGGCGAGCCUGUGAGGGUGAGCGAAUCUCGGAAAGCCGGUCUCGGUUCGGAUUGGGGUCUGCAACUCGACCUCAUGAAGUCGGAGUCGCUAGUAAUCGCAGAUCAGCAACGCUGCGGUGAAUACGUUCCCGGGGCU